GCUCCGUUCGUCUAGGGGUUAGGACACCAGAUUUUCAUUCUGGCAACACGGGUUCGAUUCCCGUACGGAGUACGA
rnacentral:tRNA from 1 species